rnacentral:lncRNA from 1 species
GGUCUCCUGCUGCUGGUGAGGCGGUCGAGGAGCCGCAGCUCUCAGGCCGCGAGCAGCCUCUGUCUCCCGAGGCCUCAGAGGCCGCGGCCGACACCCUCGCGGGAGGCGCUUUCAGACGAAGGAUGCCACCUGCCUGGUCCAGAGGAAACUCAGCCGCAGCAACAGCCGCACCUGCUCCUCAGCAUCCUCCCCGACGGGGACCCAGAAGAGAGAGAUGGGCUUCAGGAAGCUUCCCUGCAGGACGCUCGCUGUGAAGGCAGCACCUAGAAGUGGAAGGAGCGGGGGUCCCGGAACCAGCACUCAGCUUACUGCCCUGGAGGGCCCCGGGUUUGCAGGGCACGGGGACCCGAGGCACAAACCGCCAUCACCACAGGGCACGGAGCGCCCUGCGACUCGGAAAGUCAGGCCACGCAGCUGCAAACUGUGAAGCUGGAACGUGGGCCCCAGUCCCUCCAGCAUGGCAUCUCCAGGGCAGCCAGGCUCGUACAUGGUGGCCCAGGCUCCACACAACAGGUGUCACAAGACACCCAGGCAGAGGCCACGUCACCUUCUGGGUUCUCCCUUGGAAGUCCUGCAACGUCACGUCCACCUGCUCUGUGGGUUGAGGCUGUCACAAGAGACCCACCCCUGGUUCAAGGGGAAGGAUGUAGGUGUCACCGCUUGAUGGGACAGUGACAACUCCAGAAGCUUGUUUCCGAGGGGCUGUGAGCUGCACCCGCGCUGGGCCUUUGCGGGAGAGCACUGGAGUGGGGUCACAGGCAGCUCUCGGCUUUAAAGACGCUGCUGUGUGUCUGUGUAGCCCAUCACGCCUGGCUGCUGGGCAGCCCUGCAGAGUGUCUGACCGCCUAGCCUGCCCCUCCCAGGGUGAGGACUCCAGGGUGCCCCCACCUCCCCGGGAACAGUGAUGCUGGAGGGGCAUCCUCAGAUGCGCUCUCUCAAUCCCUGAGCGGGACCACCCUAGGCAGCGAGCCUCCUCCGAGCACCGGGCGCUCUGGCUGUGUCGUCUCGGCGGGAGUGGAGAACGCCGGGCAGAAGGUGGAGGAAGGAGACAGAGCUCACUCUGCUGGCCUCUCGGUUCUUGAAGAAAUUAGAGAUGUGGGCUUGUGCUGAGCAGAAGGGAGGGUGAGAGCCGCCCAAGGAGAGGAGGGAGGAAGAGGAACGCCUUUGACGCCCAGGGCAUGCUGCCCCCUGCAGGAUGCUGCAGCCUGCGGGGUGUACAAGAGGAGAGAACACCCUGGAGAGAGGGCACCGGGCGAGGUGGGCAGUCGGGCAGAGCCAGGAGACCAUGCCCAGGAGAGGUGUGAGUGUAGAGCAGCGGCAUCAGAGGUUGCCUCCAACGUGUUGGGAUAACGACGUUCGAACUUAACGAAAACGUGAUAGAACUUUGCAGUGAAGGCCCACAUACCCACCCCCUGGAUUCUCCAACUGACAUCUGCUUUUACGCACGUUGUCACCUACCUAUCCUACUAGAGCCGCUUCUCUAUCCAGUCAACGAGCCGUCUUACAGUUCGAUGUAUUUCAAAAUGAAUUGGGACAUCGGUGCCUUUCACCCUUAAACACUUCAGCACAUACUCUAAACGAGUCCAGCAUUGGUUUACCCCCCUUUGUUUUUGCUUUUGGGGUAAAAUAUGUUUGCAAUAAAACGCACAAG